GUCCGGAGCUAAAAUGCUCUCCCGUGUUCUUUUUGUUUUUUUAACACUUUUGCUGUUUUGAGGAAAAUUUUCAUAAAAGUGCAAAAGGCAACAGCUCUGGUCAUCCAAAGGUACAAUCACAAGAGAAGCAGACUCCAAGAGGAAAUGUCUCCCUUCCUGUCUGCCUUUUGCACAAGUACAACUGGAAUGGAACGUUCCCUUUUUAAUCUCUGUAUAAGUCCAAGAGGUUUUAACUUCCUCAUUACCUCAGGGUCUCUUAUGGUCUGGGAUUUGAGGAGGCAGAAAUGCCCACCUCUUCUGGAUGGGGAUAUAAAGGAGGUGAGCAGAACGGGAGAUCACUCAGUCCUGCUUCCCCAUGAAGUCCUCACCUGGCCUCAUUGUACUCCUUACUCUCCUGGUCCUCGAUGCCUUGAAGCCUGCAGCCUGUGGGAAAGGAAAUCCCGGAAAAUGCCCAACUCCACCUAAAGGAAAACAUGAACCGUGUCUAAAAUUCUGCCAUUCUGAUGGUGGUUGCCCUAAGCCCAUGAAAUGCUGUGAAUGGCAAUGCAGGAGAUUUUGCCUUAUUCCUGAGUGAAAUGGUGACACACCACACAAGUCAUACCAGGUUUUUUGGUGAAUUUUGACACACCAAGCGCUAAAGGUUGCCCAUCAUUGGUCUAAAGGAUGAGCAACAGCCCUGGAUCUAGACCUCAUCAAACCAUUGUCCCACAUUCCCUGCUCUUGGAGGGCUACAACAUGAAUACAAAAGUAAAUCAAGUGGUUGUCUGGGACUCCUGGUAAUCUGAUCCCUUUGGUUAUCAUCUACAAAGACACUUUGGAAGCAGGGUGCCACCAGGAGAAGAAACCCUUGAUAUCCCAGAUGAAGAGAAGAUGGUUGGGCUCCUCCCUGGGAUGGGAGAAAAGCACUCUAUACAUGCUCAGUGUUCUUCCUUAUUGCUAUUCAGGUUUUCUCCCUGUAACCACAUUAAGAGAAAUGAUAUGACUGAAUCUAAAAAUGAUAUGAUUGGAUCUAGGAAAAGUACAAUGCAAAAACAGUAUGUCUCUUCCUCUCCCUCUUCUAUCUCUGGCUCAUUCAUCUUUUCACAGUCUGACCUUGAAAGAGGCCUAAAUCCAUAGAGAGCAACCAACUGAAAUUUGGCGCAGCUGGUUAGGAGCCAGCUGCAAGAUCACUACUGACCGAGAGGUCAUGAGUUCAAAGCCCAAGUUGGAUUGAGUGCCCAACUGAUAAAUAGGCCCAGCUCGUUGUCGACUUAAGCAAGCCGAAAGACAGUUGCAUCUGUCAAGUAGGAAAAUUUAGGGACUGCUUAUGCGGGGAGGCUAAUUUAACUAAUUUACAACACCAUAAAAACGUCCAGCAGCGUGAGUGCCAGAUGAGGAAGUACACCAUCAAAAGGACUCAUUGUUACAGUGGAUGAUAAAGCAGCAGCUCCUCCUGUGGCCAGAAUUGAGCAUACCCUCAUGAAGCAAGGAGCUGGGAAGUUAAAUAGCCUCUGUGUCUGUCUGUCUCUGUGUUGUUUGUCUAAUGGUAUUGAAUGUUUGCCAUAUAUAUGUACAUUGUGAUCCGCCCUGAGUCACCUUCGGGGUGAGAAGGGCGGGAUAUAAAUACUGCAAAUAAAUAAAUAAAUAAAUAAAUAAAUAAAAUGUCUGACCAGAGGUCCUCUGUCCAUCUACUCCCAGAGAAACUGUAUCUCACUCUGCACCAUCUCCAUUUUCCACAUUGGUGGUCCCAAUUAUUCUCUAUUCACA